rnacentral:sRNA from 1 species
CAAGGUGUUAAAUCGUCAGGAUGAGAACCGUAAAGGUUCGAGUCUCGCAACGCGAGACAACAUCACUCCGGUGAUGGCCCGAAGGGCGAGUUAUCCUGCACGACCCACCA